UACAGAGGUCCCGAGCGUUGUUCGGAUUCAUUGGGCGUAAAGGGUGCGUAGGCGGCGGGGAAAGUCUGAUGUGAAAUCCUGGGGCUCAACCCUGGAACUGCAUUGGAUACUUCCUUGCUAGAGUACUGGAGAGGAAACUGGAAUUUACGGUGUAGCAGUGAAAUGCGUUGAUAUCUACAGGAACUCCGGUGGCGAAAGCGGCGCGCUGGACCUCUUCUGACGCUGAGGCGCGAAAGCUAGGGGAGCAAACGGG
rnacentral:rRNA from 1 species